rnacentral:rRNA from 1 species
AGUGAACGCUGGCGGUAGGCCUAACACAUGCAAGUCGAACGGCAGCACAGUAAGAGCUUGCUCUUACGGGUGGCGAGUGGCGGACGGGUGAGGAAUACAUCGGAAUCUACUUUUUCGUGGGGGAUAACGUAGGGGAACAUACGCUAAUACCGCAUACGACCUACGGGUGAAAGCAGGGGAUCUUCGGACCUUGCGCGAUUGAAUGAGCCGAUGUCGGAUUAGCUAGUUGGCGGGGUAAAGGCCCACCAAGGCGACGAUCCGUAGCUGGUCUGAGAGGAUGAUCAGCCACACUGGAACUGAGACACGGUCCAGACCCCUACGGGAGGCAGCAGUGGGGAAUAUUGGACAAUGGGCGCAAGCCUGAUCCAGCCAUACCGCGUGGGUGAAGAAGGCCUUCGGGUUGUAAAGCCCUUUUGUUGGGAAAGAAAAGCAGCAGGUUAAUACCCCGCUGUUCUGACGGUACCCAAAGAAUAAGCACCGGCUAACUUCGUG